AUUGAACGCUGGCGGCAGGCUUAACACAUGCAAGUCGAGCGAGCGGCGGACGGGUGUGUAGUAUCUGGGAAACUGCCUGAUGGAGGGGGAUCACUACUGGAAACGGUAGCUAAUACCGCAUACCCUCAGAUGUGCCCAGAGGGGUUUAGCGAGUAGGGGGGGUAAUGGCUCACCAGGGCGACGAUCCCUAGCUGGUCUGAGAGGAUGAUCAGCCACACUGGGACUGAGACACGGCCCAGACUCCUACGGGAGGCAGCAGUGGGGAAUAUUGCACAAUGGGCGCAAGCCUGAUGCAGCCAUGCCGCGUGUGUGAAGAAGGCCUUCGGGUUGUAAAGCACUUUCAGCGGGGAGGCGUUACUCGCAGAAGAAGCACCGGCUAACUCCGUGCCAGCAGCCGCGGUAAUAC
rnacentral:rRNA from 1 species